GCGGCCCCUCCGGCUCGCCGUCGCCUCCCGGCGUGCUGAGCGCGGCGCCGGCCCCGUCUGUGGCGGCGCGAUGGCGGCCCGCUCCCCGGGAUCGGACAUGUUUGAUGAGAUCGUGAUGGCCGAUGACAGGUUUCACGGGGAGGGCUACCAGGAGGGGUACGCCGAGGGCAGCCAGGCGGGGGCUGCUGAGGGGCGGAGGUGCGGCGCUCUGCAUGGCGCCAAGAUUGGUUCUGAGAUCGGCAGCUACCUUGGAUUUGCACUGACCUGGCAGUGUCUGCUCCCAAAAUGUACGGAUGAAAAGAACAGUAAAAAGAUAAGGGCUCUGGAUUCAUUAAUAGGAAUGAUUCAGAAGUUCCCAUAUGAAGAUCCCACUUAUGAAAAGCUUCAAGAUGAUCUGGAAAAAAUCAGAGGAAAAUUUAAACAGGAGUGAAUGCAAAGCUAAUUACUGGUAGUAUAUUGAAGUCAUUUCAGUUGAGAAGACUUACAGUUUUCAUUUCUAAAUUACAAGAGUACAAGAAACAGUGAGUUUUGAGGCAUCAACAAGGAAAGUUCAUGAUAGGUCAGUCAGAGGUGAGCAGAUGUAAUCAAGGUCUGAUUUGAGUGGGCAGCCUUUGGCUUUCAGGUAGGCCUCACCAUACGAUAGAUAUUUUGGUCGGAAACAUCGUGCUGUAGCUGUGCCCUAAUCUGUACUUGCCCUAAUCUGUACAGGAGUGUAACUUUCUAUUUGUCUUUAAGUGAAUGUGCAGGCUUGGUGUUCUGUUUUGAGAUGGGUUGCUACACUGGGAUGGGUUGUUUACCUGAAAUAAAUACUAAGUGUUGCAUUUCUUCAAAAAUAUUAUAAAUGAAGCCAUAAGUAAAAUGAGAACAGAGAUGAAAUCCACACAAAUGGAUUCUUUUUCUCAUACAGUGUAAGUGAGAAGACCUCUAGCAGAAUUAAGUGCAACCUCCAACACCCAGAGAGGGAGCUUGGAAAGGUAAAAGCUAUUGCUGGAAUUAAUCUGUGUACAGUAGUUAUUGCAUCCAAAAAACAGGAGCCGUUCUGGUAGGAAUUGAUCUCUGCAGAGUGUUGGUUUUUAUAUUCAGGAGUUGGCUGGAAGUGCUGUGUACAGCCUGGGCCCCAGAAGCUGCCUCUGUACUGCGGGGUGGUACAACAGCAAAGCCCAUGCAGAGUUCAGAUGCUGCAUGUGUGCCUUGUUCGUGGUACACCCAGUACCCAGUCUUUCUGCCAGCAGUUUUCUCUUUAAGUAAGAGUAUUCGUAAAAAUUGUGGCUGCAGAUAUUUAGCAGUUUCUUAGUAUGGCUGUGCAGGUGCUAAUGGGAUCGCUGAGAAACUGUUUGAUUUUCUUAUCAGAUUUCUAAAAAAGCAAAAAGAGAACUUUUAUCUUGCUCCUAGAGCCUAAAGAGCAAAAUCGGAAGUCUAGCAAGCCUUAUGUUAGCAGUGCAAUCCAGUUAACAAAUACACAAUCAUUGUUUGAUCUCAAUAUUGUGGGGAACUCAAAAGCUAAAUGGGAAUCAUACGUUUGCCGUGCCACUGCAAUUACCUAUGUCAGUUAUAUUGCUGGGAUCAUAAAAUCACCAUGUUUGUCUGAAAAAGAUACAUUUCCCAUUAAGAGAUGUUGGUGGGAUUUCAUUGAAAUGCCAUCAAUUGUAGCUUUACUACCUUUGUCCCAUUGUAGCUUUUCAGUGACACUACUAGGAAUCUUACCAGAGCAUCUAGCCCACCUGUUUGGGUCAUUCCUGUGGCUCCUCUGGAACAGUAGCUCCAAGCUUCUCUUUCUUCUCUAUCUGGAGUUUUCCAUCCCUUUAAAUGCCAAGUAUGCUUCCAUGUAAGUGAAUUUCCAAUUUCUGCAUUUAAUGGACCCUGCUUAUUCUUUAAUAAAGAAUUUGUGAUGUUAAUGUUUAUAAAAGAUAAAAGAUCUUAUGUUCAUUUAAUGUUCAUAAAAGUUUGCCAGUCUGAAUUCAGCAAUGGAAUUGGAGUUUUUGGAGAUCUUUUGGAGGUUUUCUGUGUACACUUCUCCAUCUGAUGUAAUAAAGUAUUUUUCCUUUUAAUGAGCAAGAGCGCAGCCUAGCUGAAUGUGCAUAUUUUUUACAGCCUAUAGUAAAUUGUUUUUCUUGCUACAUUCUUGUCAUCCUGCCCUUUUCAAUGUGAAUAAUACACUUGAAUUUACUAGGCUGCAUUCAGAAAUGAUGCUUAAGAAAAUCUAAAUAGCAGAGCUGACAGUCAGGGCUUAGACCUACUAAAGUUGCAGAAUAUCAGUUUUUAAUAGUGUAAAACAUCAUAGAAAAGGCAAAAAUCACUUAACAUGUUCAACAGAAAGCAGAUUGAAAUUUCUCAUCGCUUUUUUUUUUUUUUUCCCCAGCAAAAAGCUGUUUGUCCCAAAUCAGGAUCAUAAGUAUGUCCUCACUCAAAACAUAUGAGUGACUGCACUAGGAGAGACUGAUUUUGCACUAGACUGUGUGAAACAGAUGUCAGUAGCUUUCAUUGUAGCCUUCUUUGCGUAGUUAUUGCAUAGAAUCGGUUGUGAUGUGCAGUUUAGUCACUGGGAAGCUCAUAAAGCAGGUAUGAGAUUUGUCAUCCAGGGAGACUUGACAUUUUACGCGAGUUGAUACUUCUAAUGCAGUAAUUGACAUCACGUUCUCCUCUCAUUCUCAAUAGUCAGUAUAUAGAUUAGAAGUGAUCGUUCUCCACGAAGAAUAAUCUGUUGCUGCAGUGUCCAGCUCUUGCAAUUGGCAACACGCAUCCUAUUUUCAGAAAGGCACCUUGGAGAAGGAAUUGGCAAACAGGUUGUAAGUUUUUCUCAUUUUGUAAUUGUACCUCAUUACUGUUGUAUUUCCUUCUCAAGUCCAGUUCUUUCUUGUGUAUUUUAGCAGGCUUUUAAUUUUUUCUGUAUUAAUUCCUCAU